GAUGAACGCUGGCGGCGUGCUUAAUACAUGCAAGUCGAGCGAACGGACGAGAAUCUUGCUGCUUUGAUGUUAGCGGCGGACGUGUGAGUAACACGUGUAUAAUCUACCUAUAAGACUGGGAUAACUUCGGGAAACCGGCUCUUAUACCGUAUAAUAUUUUGAUCCGCAUGGUUCAAUAGUGAAAGUCGGUCUUGCUGUCACUUAUAGAUGGAUCCGCGCUGCAUUAUCUAGUUGGUAAGGUAACGGCUUACCAAGGCGAAGAUGCAUAGCCGACCUGAGAGGGUGAUCGGCCACACUGGAACUGAGACACGGUCCAGACUCCUACGGGAGGCAGCAGUAGGCAAUCUUCCGCAAUGGGCGAAAGCCUGACGGAGCAACGCCGCGUGAGUGAUGAAGGUCUUCGGAUCGUAAAACUCUGUUAUUAGGGAAGAACAUAUGUGUAAGUAAAUGUGCACAUCUUGACGGUAACUAAUCAGAAAGCCACGGCUAACUACGUG
rnacentral:rRNA from 1 species